rnacentral:rRNA from 1 species
CCCUUAGAUGUCCUGGGCCGCACGCGCGCUACACUGAUACGUGCAACAAGUACAUCCUGAUCCGGAAGGAGACGGGUAAUCUUUAUAGUACGUAUCGUGCUGGGGAUAGAUCUUUGCAAUUUUGGAUCUUGAACGAGGAAUUCCUAGUAGGCAUAAGUCAUCAGCUUGUGCCGAUUACGUCCCUGCCCUUUGUACACACCGCCCGUCGCUCCUACCGAUUGAGUGGUUCGGUGAACUUUUCGGACUGCGAACACUCUAGUGUUUGCGGAAAGUUAAUUAAACCAUAUCACUUAGAGGAAGGAAAANUCGUAACA